UGGGGAAUCUUGCACAAUGGGGGCAACCCUGAUGCAGCGACGCCGCGUGAGCGAUGAAGCCCUUCGGGGCGUAAAGCUCUUUCGACCGGAACGAUAAUGACGGUACCGGGAGAAGAAGCUGCGGCUAACUACGUGCCAGCAGCCGCGGUAAUACGUAGGCAGCAAGCGUUGUUCGGAGUUACUGGGCGUAAAGAGUGCGUAGGCGGUUUUCUAAGUUCGGUGUGAAAUCUCCCGGCUUAACUGGGAGGGUGCGCCGAAGACUGGGAAGCGGGAGUGUGGGAAAGGCAGGCGGAAUUCCUGGUGUAGCGGUGAAAUGCGUAGAUAUCUGGAAGAACACCAGUGGCGAAGGCGGUCAACUGGCCCAUAACUGACGCUCAUGCACGAAAGCGUGGGGAGCAAACA
rnacentral:rRNA from 1 species